AGUCUUCGGACUUAGUGGCGGACGGGUGAGUAACACGUGAGAACCUGCCCUCUGGAGGGGGACAACCGUUGGAAACGACGGCUAAUACCCCAUACGCCCUCGGGUGAAAGCUUUUGCGCCAGAGGAGGGGCUCGCGGUCGAUUAGCUAGUUGGUGGGGUAACGGCCUACCAAGGCAGCGAUCGAUAGCUGGUCUGAGAGGACGAGCAGCCACACUGGGACUGAGACACGGCCCAGACUCCUACGGGAGGCAGCAGUGGGGAAUUUUCCGCAAUGGGCGCAAGCCUGACGGAGCCGGACCGCGUGCGGGAAGACGGCCCUUGGGUUGUAAACCGCUUUUCUCAGGGAAGAAGUCAGUGACGGUACCUGAGGAAUCAGCCUCGGCUAACUCCGUGCCAGCAGCCGCGGUAAUACGGAGGAGGCAAGCGUUAUCCGGAAUUAUUGGGCGUAAAGCGUUCGCAGGCGGCUUGGCAAGUCUGCUGUCAAAGCCCGCGGCUCAACCGCGGAUCGGCAGUGGAAACUGUCAGGCUAGAGUGCGGUAGGGGUAGGGGGAAUUCCCAGUGUAGCGGUGAAAUGCGUAGAUAUUGGGAAGAACACCAGUGGCGAAAGCGCCCUACUGGACCGCAACUGACGCUCAGGGACGAAAGCUAGGGGAGCGAAAGGGAUUAGAUACCCCUGUAGUCCUAGCCGUAAACGAUGGAAACUAGGUGUGGCUCGUAUCGACCCGAGCCGUGUCGUAGCUAACGCGUUAAGUUUCCCGCCUGGGGAGUACGCGCGCAAGCGUGAAACUCAAAGGAAUUGACGGGGGCCCGCACAGGCGGUGGAGGAUGUGCUUUAAUUCGAUGCAACGCGAAGAACCUUACCACGACUUGACAUCCUGGCGAAUCUUGCGGAAACGCGAGAGUGCCUUCGG
rnacentral:rRNA from 1 species